rnacentral:misc_RNA from 1 species
ACAGUUCUAAAAAUAGAGCUGAUACAAAUUACAAUUUAUAGAUAUCAUAUCAGUUAUCCAUUAACUAUCAAUUCUAUUUUUAAAAAGUUACCAAACGCGUUAAUUUACCUGUUUAGGUGUUUAUUAGUUAUCAGCUGCACUCAAAAAGUGAAUCAAACAUCCCCUAAGUAGCAACAAGUAUUUUUUUUAUUACCCCACUUUAUGGUGGUUGCUACUUGUAGU